GAAAGUAAUGAAGGGCGUACGGUGGAUGCCUAGGCUCUUACAGGCGAUGAAGGACGUGAUAAGCUGCGAAAAGCCGCGGUGAGGCGCAAAUGGCCCUUGACCCGCGGAUCUCCGAAUGGGACAACCCAAUAUCUUGAAGAGAUAUUAUCCCGCCGAUGCGGGAGGCGAACGCGGGGAACUGAAACAUCUUAGUACCCGCAGGAAAAGAAAAUAAAGAAUGAUUCCCCCAGUAGUGGCGAGCGACCGGGGAAGAGCCCAAACCGACGUUGUCUCGGCAUCGUCGGGGUUGUAGGACCGCGCCAUCGCAAGAAAGGCCGUGAGUGGAAGCGACUGGAAAGCCGCGCCAUAGAGGGUGACAGCCCCUUACACGAAGCAGCCCGAAGCGUAGCGGACUCCUGAGUAGCGCGGGACACGAGUAAUCCUGUGUGAAUCCGCCGGGCCCAUCCGGCAAGGCUAAAUACUCGUAAGAGACCGAUAGUGAACCAGUACCGUGAGGGAAAGGUGAAAAGUACCCCUUGCAGGGGAGUGAAAGAGUUCCUGAAACCGUACGCCUACAAGCGGUCGGAGCAUCUUGAAUGAUGUGACGGCGUGCCUUUUGCAUAAUGAACCUACGAGUUGCCGUCACCAGCGAGGUUAAGUGCGAUGACGCACCGAGCCGCAGCGGAAGCGAGUCUUAAAAGGGCGCAAUAGUUGGUGGAGGCAGACGCGAAACCGAGUGAUCUACACUUGUCCAGGAUGAAGUCCCGGUAACACGGGAUGGAGGUCCGCACCAAUAAGCGUUGAAAAGCUUCUGGAUGAGGUGAGUGUAGGAGUGAAAGGCCAAUCAAACUCGGAGAUAGCUCGUACUCCCCGAAAGGCAUUUAGGUGCCGCCUGUGGCGUUCCCGACGUGAGGUAGAGCGACUGAUAGGAUGCGAGGGCUUCACCGCCUAUCAAGUCCUGACAAACUCCGAAUGCACGUCGGCCAAGCCAUGGAGUAAGGGCAUGGGUGCUAAGGUCCGUGCCCGAGAGGAGAAGAAUCCAGACCACCGGCUAAGGUCCCGAAAUACUGGUUAAGUUAGACUAACGCAGUCCGGCCCCCAAGACAGCUAGGAUGUUGGCUUGGAAGCAGCCAUUCAUUCAAAGAGUGCGUAACAGCUCACUAGUCGAGGAGCUGGGCGUGGAUAAUAAUCGGGUAUGAAACCAGUUACCGAAGCCGUGGGAUGCUUAAGCAUCGGUAGGGGAGCAUUGCAUGCGGCUUAGAAGGCGGGGCGCGAGCCCCUCUGGAGCGCAUGGAAACGCAAAUGUAGGUAUAAGUAACGACAAGGGGGGUGGGAUGCCCCCCCGCCGAAAGACCAAGGUUUCCUGAACAACGCUAAUCGGUUCAGGGUCAGUCGGGUCCUAAGCAUAAGCCGUAUGGCGAGGGCGAUGGACGAAACGGUUAAUAUUCCGUUACUGUCUUGGUGUGUGACGCGGCGACGGAGUAGUGACACGGCCGCCUCCUGACGGAAAAGGGGGUUGAAGCGCAAAGGUGUCGAGGAAGGCAGGCAAAUCCACCUUCCGAGCCGAAGCGCGAAAGUACGCCGGGCCCUUUGGGGCAAGGCGAUAGUGCCGGUAAUCAGACUUCCAAGAAAACCCGCUAAACUUCAGCACCAAGUCACCCGUACUCUAAACGGACACACGUGGUCGGGUAGAAUAUACUAAGGCGCUUGGGAGAUUCACGGUUAAGGAACUAGGCAAAUUGACCCCGUACCUUCGGAAUAAGGGGUCCUCGCUUUUGCGAGGCGCAGAGAAUAGGUCCAGGCAACUGUUUAACAAAAACACAGGGCUGUGCAAAUUUGAAAGAAGAAGUAUACAGCCUGACACCUGCCCGGUGCCGGAAGGUUAAGAGGAGAGCUCAUCAGCGAUGAGAAGGCUUGAAUUGAAGCCCCGGUAAACGGCGGCCGUAACUAUAACGGUCCUAAGGUAGCGAAAUUCCUUGUCGGGUAAGUUCCG
rnacentral:rRNA from 1 species